CCUACGGGUGGCAGCAGUGGGGGAUAUUGCACAAUGGGGGAAACCCUGAUGCAGCGACGCCGCGUGUGGGAAGACGGUCCUCUGGAUUGUAAACCACUGUCCCCAGGGACGAAGAUGACGGUACCUGGGGAGGAAGCUCCGGCUAACAAGGUGCCAGCAGCCGCGGUAAUACGUAGGGAGCGAGGGUUGUCCGGAAUUACUGGGGGAAAAGGGAGGGUAGGCGGGACUGCAAGUUGGGUGUCAAAUCUACCGGCCCAACCGGUAGCCGCACUCAAAACUGUAGUUCUUGAGUGAAGUAGAGGCAGGCGGAAUUCCUAGUGUAGCGGUGAAAUGCGUAGAUAUUAGGAGGAACACCAGUGGCGAAGGCGGCCUGCUGGGCUUUUACUGACGCUGAGGCUCGAAAGUGUGGGGAGCAAACAGGAUUAGAUACCCCAGUAGUC
rnacentral:rRNA from 1 species